UCCCUGGUGGCUCAGAGGUUAAAGCAUCUGCCUGCAAUGUGGGCGAUCCGGGUUCAAUCCCUGGGUUGGGAA
rnacentral:tRNA from 1 species